GAGGUACUGACGGAGGAUGGUAACAGCUGACAGCCUUGAAACACAUACAAAAGGACAAAGGUGUGAAGCGAAUAGCCUGGAGUCCUGGCAGAAGCUACCUGGAAUUGGGUCUGAAGGAGGAAAUUUGCCUAAACUGCAAUUUGAUCAUGUCGUGGAUUUAACUUCUUAGAUGAAAUCAUCUCCCAGUUCACCCUCCAGGAACCACUGAUGACAACUGAAAAAAGGUGAGCAUUAUCUUAUUUGGUCAUUUGUCCUCUUAAACAAUCCUAGAAAACUUUUCAGAACUAAGAUUUACAGCUCAUAGUUGGUCCUCAGGAGUUCAUCUAGUCAACCAUUAGCUAUGAUUUGGUUUUGCCUGCAUGCCUGAAAUGCCCAGUUUUCUCUCAAGCAUAGCUGUUUGUUAGUGUGCAUGUCUUGAACAGAUGUGAUGAAUUUUAUUGCUCUUUCUUUUCAUUCUUUCUACAAUUUGUAUCUUCAGGAAAAGACAGUGCUUAAAUAUGAAUGUAUGAUAACCAUUCUCACCAUAUGCUGCAUUGCUUUUUUAAACUACAGAAUCUACUCCCAUAUUCUUAGCAGGGGAAAAGAAAGAAGACUCGCUUCUUUGUCUUUAACGGAAAAGAUCUAAUGGACAAUGUGUUUCCAGUUGAUUACAAUAAAACUCAAGUAUUUUGAGAAGGACAAUAAACACAGUCUAGAUACUUUCAGCUGCUUCAAAAUAGACAGACAAGAUGCCAAGACGAGCUGUUCUUCACUACCAACCACUUCUGAAGAAGAUCAAACCCCUUCAUAUGCUGCCAAUCUCUUUUUAAGCUGGAGUGUAGGGGGCCUCAGAUCAUCUGUAUCUGUGACUACAAAACCCUAAGGAUAACUUCAAGUCUUUCCUGAUGCUUUCUGCCAGAGGCUCCAAGCAGGGACAUUCUCCCCAGCUGUAGUCUAGAACAGGCUUUUUUUUACAUCUUGUCCCGCCCCUAAUGACCCAAGGGCUACUGCAUGAACUAUUUCCUGUAUAAUUUCUUCAAAGGCUUUUGGUUGUUCAGGGUCCUGUGUGAAAUCAUUCUUCUCCCAGGGUCAUUUGAUUGAGAGGGUCAGGACACCACUGUGUUUCUCUUUCUAAACACCUCCUCUGCAAUCUUUUUCUGACUGAUCUCAUUAAACAUGAUUGUGAGGGUGAUCAUGACAAAGAGUUAUAUUCCUAAUAUAAACUGUUCCAAG
ensembl:lncRNA